ACACACAGAGGGGACACACAGAGGGGACACAGAAGUGACACAGAGGUGACACACAAAGGGGACACAGAGGGGACACACACAGAGGUGCCACAAGGCGACACAGAGGUGCCACACACAGAGGUGACACAGAGGUGACACAGAGGUGACACAGAGGUGACACAGAGGUGCCACACACAGAGGUGACACAGAGGUGACAUAAGGUGACACAGAGGUGACACAGAGGUGACACAGAGGUGACACAGAGGUGCCACACACAGAGGUGACACAGAGGUGACACAGAGGUGACACAGAGGUG